rnacentral:rRNA from 1 species
GACGAACGCUGGCGGCGUGCUUAACACAUGCAAGUCGAACGGUAAGGCCCUUCGGGGUACACGAGUGGCGAACGGGUGAGUAACACGUGGGUGAUCUGCCCUGCACUUCGGGAUAAGCCUGGGAAACUGGGUCUAAUACCGGAUAGGACCACUGCCUGCAUGGGUGGUGGUGGAAAGCUUUUGCGGUGUGGGAUGGGCCCGCGGCCUAUCAGCUUGUUGGUGGGGUGAUGGCCUACCAAGGCGACGACGGGUAGCCGGCCUGAGAGGGUAACCGGCCAGACUGGGACUGAGAUACGGCCCAGACUCCUACGGGAGGCAGCAGUGGGGAAUAUUGCACAAUGGGCGCAAGCCUGAUGCAGCGACGCCGCGUGAGGGAUGAGGGCCUUCGGGUUGUAAACCUCUUUCAGCACCGACGAAGCGAAAGUGACGGUAGGUGCAGAAGAAGGACCGGCCAACUACGUGCCAGCCGCCGCAGUAA